GCCUUCGCACCUGCAGUACUAUAUUGGGCGUAGGAGGCCAUUUUAAAGGUUGGGAAGAGGUAUGACACAAAUCAUGGGAUUCGGUUUCCAAGGAUGCUUAGCUGGACGAGCAAGGGUGAUAUAGGGAAGAAAGAACUCAGUGCAUUAUUUUCUAGACAGAAUCUUGAAGUGGUGAAGGGGCUACUUCCACGAACAGAAGAAGAGGCAUUUGUGAGGACCAUCUCUUACAAAGGUGUGGAAAACCUAGUUGAUGUUGGUGUGGAUGACACAGAGGCUGAGGCAGAUACUUAGGUACCAGACACUCAGAUUUUUUUAGGCCAUUGGUUCAGACCCUCAGCCCAGUGCACCAUCUUUAUCAGGCGUUCAUGGUGCCGAGUACAGUGAUUUAGUGGAAAGGUUGGAUAGGAUCGAGGCUAACCAGAAAGGUAUGUACGCUUGUCAUGCCAAGCUGAAGAUGGCAUAUGAGACCAGCAAUAUAGAGUUGAAGGCUGGUCAGAACCUAAUUAUGGAGCAGCUCAUAAAUAUAUUGACCAUGUUGCAUCGUCCGCCAACGACAACUUCAGCACCAGAGGCCCCAGCAGAUCCAUCUACCUCACUACCAGCUGCAUCACCCCCACUACAAGAGGAGGAGGUCUUUCCAGACGGGUAUGAUCCUUAUUAGGGAGCUCCAGCUAAUCCUAUCGGUGCAAGUGUUAUCUGUUUAGAUGACAGCGAGUCCCAGGGUGAAAUUUUGGCAAUAGAGGCACAACCUGCAGGGGUUAAGAGAGGGAAGAGGAAGAGAAAUCCCCCUGUAUGGUUUCGUGACUACACGGAGAUGAAGAAGAAACAGAGGCCUUCUUCGAGGUUUGAUCCCCUGGCGCCACCGGAUGAACGAUUGUUGGAUACUUUCCGAAAGUGGUAUUCUGAACUCAUUCCCAACCACUGGCUUCGGGAUUUGAAAAGUGGUGAUUACGGUCCAUCGUUCUUUUGGAAGGUGUUGACACUACAGGAGUGGCUUACAGAUGACAUGCAGCAGUCCAUAUGCUGAGGAGGCGACGCGCCGACUAUCCACUAACAUUUCCUCAAAAGGGUAUCAUUCUCUCUACAUUCGUUACCAGCAUGAUCAACAGUGCAUGGACGAAUCACAAGGGUCCCAGGAGAAACUUUGUGUGGGAGGAUUAUAUCCUGGAGUACUGCAGAGGUGUUCAUCAGACCCAGUUCUUUCCGAGAUGGAGGGGGAAUGAGUUCAUUUACUUCAUUUUGCAUCUUCCCGACCAUAGGCACUGGGUCACUAUUGAAGUUGACAUAGAGCUGUGGAAAAUUAAUUUGUACGACUGUGAUUCCAGCAUUUGUCAUUAGACCGCCAUGGCACCCAUCUUGAAGACUUGGGAAGAACUUUUGCCCUCACUAAUCCAUGCAACUGUGGAUUUUCCACUUAAUAAACAGAUCAUGGCAUUAACAAAUAAGGAGAUCAACGUGCUUUUGAAUAUGCAUGCGAGUCGAGCCACUCACGACUUAGUUCCGAAGGCAACAAUUAGCGGUGAUUGUGGCGUUUAUUGCAUUGAGUAUGUGGAGCAUCUCAUGAUGCGACGUGGAUUAACUGAUGUCACGCAAGGCCGGAUGAAGUUGUUUCGUGAACGGUGGUGUGUUGAUUUGUUUUACCAGAAUGUCGGCUGAUUAUAUGUGUAAUUAUAGUGACAUUGUAUGUUUUUUGUAAUUAAAAAUACAGUUAUAUAUUCUGUUUACUUAAAAAUAUUUUUUUUGGUA